ACCACCCCCAACCCCCUCCUCUGAAGAGGAGGGGGCCAAGGGCUACGCUGUUCUCCCCCUCCUCUUCAGAGGAGGGGGUUGGGGGUGGU
rnacentral:pre_miRNA from 1 species